rnacentral:misc_RNA from 1 species
UUCCGAUUUAUGCGUUAAUGUCUUUUUUAUCUCUCAUUUUGCCUACGAGUUCAAUCUAUUUCAAUUCCAUAAGAGAAGUUUAUGAAGCUUGGGUUAUCUAUAAUUUCCUGUCUUUAUGCCUGGCUUGGGUUGGUGGCCCUGGAGCAGUUGUUCUAAGUUUAAGUGGUCGGGUUCUGAGGCCAUCCAUGUGUCUGAUGACAUGUUGCUUACCUCCAAUACCACUAGAUGGGCGAUUUAUAAGGAGGUGUAAGCAGGGGUGUUUGCAGUUUGUGAUUCUGAAGCCUAUCUUAGUUGCUGUUACUCUUAUACUUUAUGCAAAAGGGAAAUAUAAAGAUGGAAAUUUCAGUCCGAACCAAGCAUACCUAUAUCUUACCAUCACCUAUACAAUCUCAUACACAAUGGCUCUGUAUGCUUUGGCAUUAUUUUAUGUCGCAUGCAGGGAUCUGCUUCAGCCCUUCAAUCCAGUUCCCAAGUUUAUUAUGAUUAAGUCUGUUGUUUUCUUAACUUACUGGCAGGGAGUUUUGGUUUUUCUGGCUGCAAAAUCUGGAUUCAUAAAGAAUGCAGAGGAAGCUGCUCAGUUUCAAAAUUUUAUCAUAUGUGUUGAGACGCGNNNNNNNNNNCUGCUGUUGGUCAUCUUUUUGCAUUCCCAUACAAAGAGUAUGCUGGUGCAAAUAUCGGUGG